AGCUGCGCGCAGACAUGUCACCUCCAUUCCGAGCGAGCCGUAGCUACUCCGCCGCCGUCGACAUCGCCGUCGUCUGAGAUUACAAUAUGCCGCGAGGAAAACGUUUCAGAAAUAUUGAGUUUCAGCACACAUCCGUGGGAUCUACUUCUGAUCGUUCCCAGCAGCCCGAUGAGCCCCAUACUCAGUCCGGGUCCCAGUCUGAGCACACCCCACCUGCAGAUUGUCCAUACACGGAUGACGUGGACGUCCUGGAUGGACUGGGGAGAGUGAGGAGAACACGAGGGCCCACUCGAGCACGGGACGUAUGGAGCCUACCUGAGGAUGAGAAGAUUGUCGUCCAUUGCAACGAACUGGGGCAGCCCAUCAAGAAUGCUGCAAGCAUUUUAUCCACUUUUUUAGGAUCAGUUGCGCGGAAGGGACAAUUGUGUCUGCUCAACUAUACGAAAUGGAAUGAAAUGCUUCCUUUGUAUAAGAUUGAGCUUUUUAGA